rnacentral:rRNA from 1 species
GUGAGGAAUUUUCCGCAAUGGGCGAAAGCCUGACGGAGCAAUGCCGCGUGAAGGAUGAAGGCCUAUGGGUUGUAAACUUCUUUUCUCAGAAAAGAAUUAUGACGGUAUCUGAGGAAUAAGCAUCGGCUAACUCUGUGCCAGCAGCCGCGGUAAGACAGAGGAUGCAAGCGUUAUCCGGAAUGAUUGGGCGUAAAGCGUCUGUAGGUUGUUUAAAAAGUAUUCUGUCAAAGAUUAGGGCUUAACCCUAGAUAGGCAGAAUAAACUUUUAAGCUAGAGUUUGGUAGAGGCAGAGGGAAUUCCCGGUGGAGCGGUGAAAUGCGUAGAUAUCGGGAGGAACACCAAAGGCGAAGGCACUCUGCUGGGCCAAUACUAACACUGAGAGACGAAAGCGAGGGGAGCAAAUGGGAUUAGAUACCCUUGUAGUCC